rnacentral:lncRNA from 1 species
GAGUAACUGACUAAGCUUGUUCGAAGCUUUCGCCUUUUACUGCAGUGGUCAUAUGGAGGACUUAUUUCUUGUUGAUAAACAUAAAAAUACAGAGAGAUGGAUACAGACAUGGGAGAGGCUUAUUGGCAUGCCUUGCUGUUACAUUAUAGGAAAUACAAGGACAGCCAAGAAUUCAUAGCUAUAGUGCCAUUUGAUUCUCAUAGGUUAAUGUAGCUAUUUAGGUUGUUGAGGUAUGUAUAUGGUCUUUUAUGUUUAUCUUUGUACAAAUUGAACGAUAUUACCUUGUGAGCUGUGCUUUUUCUAAUAAUUUUAUAGCACUCAGGGAGCUGGUGGUUGAGCUCCUUUUCUUCACAUAUUUUCCCAUGAAAACUGCUAGUUGAGUUGAGUUGUGUUCAAACACAUGAAAACUUCCAUUUUCGUCUCUCUGGGGAAAUCGAUUGACGUUUGCAGUUCAAAAACCCCAAAAUCAGGUAGAACCUCGAUGAGCUUUUCGAGUUGAUAUCGCGAUCUUGAUUUUUUACUGUUAUCACGAUAAGCGAUAUCCCUCGUAGAUACUAAAUUAUAAAAAACGACAGUGUUCACUGAUACUGUCGGAAUUAUGAAUCCUCUUGAGUUGAUAUGUUUAGAUGGCAUAAGUAGUUAGUUCAAUCAAUCUGUUUUUUUUAUUAUCGUUAAAUUUAUUUAUAAAUUUAUAUUUUUUUUAAAAAAAAGUUUAUAAAAUUAUAUUUUUUUAAAAAAAUUCAGUGCAUUGUAUAUCAACUACAAUUGGAAACAGAAUAAAAGUUAUAAUGAUUUAAUUUGAUUUAUAAGAGUGUAAAAAUGCAUUUGAAGUAAUAUGGCUUCAGGAUCAUUAUCAUGAGAUAAAAUGGGUUUGACCAAAAUUGAGAUGGUCCCCUACUCGAAUAUAUAUUGUUUUAAAAAUAUAUAUUAAAUUAUGAAUUCAACAUUAAAAUACCUAAUCUAAAAUUAUAUAUUAAUUUAUUAUUUUCUUGAUAAAGCACAUUAAUUUAGUAAUUAUUAGUUAAUUAAUUAAUUAUUAUUAAUAAUAAUGGUCACAACAUUAUGAUUGGUAGUGAAAUGGGACUAAAAAGUGAAGUACCCUUAAUUUAUUUUUGGUAAUUGCACCUUAUAUUUUAUUGUAUUUUAAAAAUUAUAUUAUAGUGUAGUGCCUAAUCCUAGGGCCUAGGGUAGGGUAGGGUGUAGGGUAGGGUGUAAGGUGUAGGGCAUGGUCCUCUUAGGCUUUUUGGUUGGAGUGAUGGGAUUGAUAAGCCUAAAAAGCAAACCCUAAUGAUGCCUACUACUCCAAAUCUCAUGUAAAUUUGGCAUUUUCAUCUUUUAGAAAUCCACUAACCUAAAAAGCACCAUUCCAUAAUAUGACUAUCAAUUUCCAAAUGUCUUAUUAGGUUAUUCUUAAUUAUGGUGAUUUAAUUUGAACAAUUUUGGUGGGUCACUUACUUCUCAAUCACCCUCUUAAUAAAUGGGGAGAAAGAGAAUAUACAUAUACAAUAUACAAUAUACAAUAUACAAUUAUUUUUUUCUUUAGUGGUAAUCAUAUAUAACUCACUACAAAAUAUUUAGCUUUUAUAACUUUGUUUGAGUAGUAUAAUCUCUACAAAUCUUAACCACCAUAUUUUCAUGAGUUAAUACUAUAUUUGUUUUCUUGUAUAAGAUUUAGAAACUUUCGUGGUUGGACCUCCUUUG